rnacentral:rRNA from 1 species
AGAGUUUGAUCAUGGCUCAGAUUGAACGCUGGCGGCAGGCCUAACACAUGCAAGUCGAGCGGUAGCACAGAGAGCUUGCUCUCGGGUGACGAGCGGCGGACGGGUGAGUAAUGUCUGGGAAACUGCCUGAUGGAGGGGGAUAACUACUGGAAACGGUAGCUAAUACCGCAUAACGUCGCAAGACCAAAGAGGGGGACCUUCGGGCCUCUUGCCAUCAGAUGUGCCCAGAUGGGAUUAGCUAGUAGGUGGGGUAACGGCUCACCUAGGCGACGAUCCCUAGCUGGUCUGAGAGGAUGACCAGCCACACUGGAACUGAGACACGGUCCAGACUCCUACGGGAGGCAGCAGUGGGGAAUAUUGCACAAUGGGCGCAAGCCUGAUGCAGCCAUGCCGCGUGUAUGAAGAAGGCCUUCGGGUUGUAAAGUACUUUCAGCGGGGAGGAAGGUGUUGAGGUUAAUAACCUCAGCAAUUGACGUUACCCGCAGAAGAAGCACCGGCUAACUCCGUGCCAGCAGCCGCGGUAAUACGGAGGGUGCAAGCGUUAAUCGGAAUUACUGGGCGUAAAGCGCACGCAGGCGGUCUGUCAAGUCGGAUGUGAAAUCCCCGGGCUCAACCUGGGAACUGCAUUCGAAACUGGCAGGCUAGAGUCUUGUAGAGGGGGGUAGAAUUCCAGGUGUAGCGGUGAAAUGCGUAGAGAUCUGGAGGAAUACCGGUGGCGAAGGCGGCCCCCUGGACAAAGACUGACGCUCAGGUGCGAAAGCGUGGGGAGCAAACAGGAUUAGAUACCCUGGUAGUCCACGCCGUAAACGAUGUCGACUUGGAGGUUGUGCCCUUGAGGCGUGGCUUCCGGAGCUAACGCGUUAAGUCGACCGCCUGGGGAGUACGGCCGCAAGGUUAAAACUCAAAUGAAUUGACGGGGGCCCGCACAAGCGGUGGAGCAUGUGGUUUAAUUCGAUGCAACGCGAAGAACCUUACCUACUCUUGACAUCCAGAGAACUUUCCAGAGAUGGAUUGGUGCCUUCGGGAACUCUGAGACAGGUGCUGCAUGGCUGUCGUCAGCUCGUGUUGUGAAAUGUUGGGUUAAGUCCCGCAACGAGCGCAACCCUUAUCCUUUGUUGCCAGCGGUCCGGCCGGGAACUCAAAGGAGACUGCCAGUGAUAAACUGGAGGAAGGUGGGGAUGACGUCAAGUCAUCAUGGCCCUUACGAGUAGGGCUACACACGUGCUACAAUGGCGCAUACAAAGAGAAGCGACCUCGCGAGAGCAAGCGGACCUCAUAAAGUGCGUCGUAGUCCGGAUUGGAGUCUGCAACUCGACUCCAUGAAGUCGGAAUCGCUAGUAAUCGUAGAUCAGAAUGCUACGGUGAAUACGUUCCCGGGCCUUGUACACACCGCCCGUCACACCAUGGGAGUGGGUUGCAAAAGAAGUAGGUAGCUUAACCUUCGGGAGGGCGCUUACCACUUUGUGAUUCAUGACUGGGGUGAAGUCGUAACAAGGUAACC